GGGAGACCCUUGUAAUGAUACUGAUGGAGCUAAAGGACUGCGAAGAAACAUUAAGAUAUUGCCAAUUAACUAUUCCUGUUUACCAAAGGGCAUAUCCAGAAUUCCAUCCUCUUUUAGGACUGCAAUAUUAUACAUGUGGGAAACUUGAAUGGUUUUUAGAAAAGACUCUGAAUGCAGUGAAGUCCUUAACAAAGGCUGCGGAUAUACUCAAGGU